GACGAACGCUGGCGGCGUGCUUAACAUAUGCAAGUCGAACGAUGAAGCUAGAGCUUGCUCUGGUGGAUUAGUGGCGAACGGGUGAGUAACACGUGAGUAACCUGCCCCGAACUCUGGGAUAACUGCUGGAAACGGUAGCUAAUACCGGAUAUGACCAAUGAAGGCAUCUUCUGUUGGUGGAAAGAAUCUCGGUUCGGGGUGGACUCGCGGCCUAUCAGCGUGGUGGUGAGGUAACGGCUCACCAAGGCGACGACGGGUAGCCGGCCUGAGAGGGUGAUCGGCCACACGGAGACUGAGACACGGCCCAGACUCCUACGGGAGGCAGCAGUGGGGAAUAUUGCACAAUGGGCGCAAGCCUGAUGCAGCAACGCCGCGUGAGGGACGACGGCCUUCGGGUUGUAAACCUCUUUUAGUAGGGAAGAAGCGAAAGUGACGGUACCUGCAGAAAAAGCACCGGCUAACUACGUGCCAGCCGCCGCGGUAA
rnacentral:rRNA from 1 species